GCUUGCUUCUCUUGAGAGCGGCGGACGGGUGAGUAAUGCCUAGGAAUCUGCCUGGUAGUGGGGGAUAACGUUCGGAAACGGACGCUAAUACCGCAUACGUCCUACGGGAGAAAGCAGGGGACCUUCGGGCCUUGCGCUAUCAGAUGAGCCUAGGUCGGAUUAGCUAGUUGGUGAGGUAAUGGCUCACCAAGGCGACGAUCCGUAACUGGUCUGAGAGGAUGAUCAGUCACACUGGAACUGAGACACGGUCCAGACUCCUACGGGAGGCAGCAGUGGGGAAUAUUGGACAAUGGGCGAAAGCCUGAUCCAGCCAUGCCGCGUGUGUGAAGAAGGUCUUCGGAUUGUAAAGCACUUUAAGUUGGGAGGAAGGGUUGUAGAUUAAUACUCUGCAAUUUUGACGUUACCGACAGAAUAAGCACCGGCUAACUCUGUGCCAGCAGCCGCGGUAAUACAGAGGGUGCAAGCGUUAAUCGGAAUUACUGGGCGUAAAGCGCGCGUAGGUGGUUUGUUAAGUUGGAUGUGAAAUCCCCGGGCUCAACCUGGGAACUGCAUUCAAAACUGACUGACUAGAGUAUGGUAGAGGGUGGUGGAAUUUCCUGUGUAGCGGUGAAAUGCGUAGAUAUAGGAAGGAACACCAGUGGCGAAGGCGACCACCUGGACUAAUACUGACACUGAGGUGCGAAAGCGUGGGGAGCAAAC
rnacentral:rRNA from 1 species